GGUCUGCUAUGAUGAGUUGCAUGUGAGUCCGUGUUUCACCUGAUUUUUCUGAUUAAUUGCAUGCGCUGAGCAGACC